GCCUUAGUAGCUUAAUUGGUAAAGCAUUCGCUUGAAGAGCGUUGGUUGCGAGUUCGAAUCUCGACUUUGGCA
rnacentral:tRNA from 1 species